UGGAUUGUAGUAUAAUUUUAUUUUGGUUCAUUUCUUUUUUCCUUUAUAUAAGUGCAGGUGUUGUGAUGUUUUGAAUAAAGGGUGAUGAAAGGUGGUUCACACACUUCCUCCUUACUUAAAGCAAGUGGAGAUGAUGGGUUGUAUAAAAAGAAAAACUUGCCAGAGUUGGCUUCAUUUCAUUCCAGUAACUCUAUUCCAGUAACUCUCUAAAUAGGGCCAAGAACUCACUAAAUAGGUAGUCAAGAGGAAUUCAGUUUUGCCUUCAAUUUUUGCCUUCUGUUUACAUUCUUCCUGGAUGCACUCUCACCGCUUCUCUCGCUUACCACUUUUGUCUCACUCACCGCUUCAUCUCUUCUGUUGCUUACAAGGUGAAUGGAGAGAUUUACAACCAUGAAGAGCUGAGGAGCCGUUUGCCAAAUCAGAUUUAUAAGGUCUCAUCAAUUAUAAAUAAACGACUUUUCAUUCCCAAUGACCUUUAUCGUUUUUCUUAAUGGGUUAGCUGAACAUGAGGUAGAUGCUGACUUUAUAAAAUAUGAGAAUGUUUUAGGAUUUCAUUCUAAUUUUUUGGCUGUUUGAUUACUUUGCUUUUCGUAAUUUGUUUUGCUUAUCGUCAAUUGGAUGGGACAACAUAUUUUUGUAACCAGUUUGUACUUUUUUUUUUUGUGGAAACUAACCAGUAUGUACUUUUACCAUCUCGGUUUUGAUGGAAUUGGAGCUUUCAGUAAUGGGUUCUGAGGGAAUUGGAGUUUUGA